GAUGAACGCUGGCGGCGUGCCUAAUACAUGCAAGUCGAGCGAACAGACGAGGAGCUUGCUCCUCUGACGUUAGCGGCGGACGGGUGAGUAACACGUGGAUAACCUACCUAUAAGACUGGGAUAACUUCGGGAAACCGGAGCUAAUACCGGAUAAUAUAUUGAACCGCAUGGUUCAAUAGUGAAAGACGGUUUUGCUGUCACUUAUAGAUGGAUCCGCGCCGCAUUAGCUAGUUGGUAAGGUAACGGCUUACCAAGGCAACGAUGCGUAGCCGACCUGAGAGGGUGGGAGGCCACAAUGGAACAGAGACACGGUCCGGACAACUCCGGGAGGCAGCAGUCGGGGAGCGGGAGGAAUGGGCGCAAGUCUGAUGUAGCAAUGACGGGGGAGUGAGAAAGGUGUACGUAUCGAUAAACUCGUUGACGAGUCAAGAACAAAUGGGCAAGGAAAGAUGCACGUCGGGACGGGACCGAAGAAGAGAGCCAGGGCGAACGAGGUG
rnacentral:rRNA from 1 species